rfam:Schistosoma mattheei strain Denwood, Zambia genome assembly, scaffold: SMTD_scaffold0005035
GCACUGCUGAGCAGUCCCGCAAUAGGACGAAACGGCCGUCCAGUGC